rnacentral:rRNA from 1 species
AAACUUUCAACAACGGAUCUCUUGGUUCUCGCAUCGAUGAAGAACGCAGCGAAAUGCGAUAAGUAAUGUGAAUUGCAGAAUUCAGUGAAUCAUAGAAUCUUUGAACGCACAUUGCGCCCCUUGGUAUUCCGAGGGGCAUGCCUGUUCGAGCGUCAUU